rnacentral:rRNA from 1 species
UGGCGGACGGGUGAGUAACGCGUGGGUAACCUGCCUUGCACUGGGGGAUAACACUUAGAAAUAGGCGCUAAUACCGCAUAAGCGCACGGUCCUGCAUGGGACAGUGUGAAAAACUCCGGUGGUGCAAGAUGGACCCGCGUCUGAUUAGCUGGUUGGCGGGGUAAAGGCCCACCAAGGCGACGAUCAGUAGCCGGCCUGAGAGGGUGGACGGCCACAUUGGGACUGAGACACGGCCCAAACUCCUACGGGAGGCAGCAG